UACCAGCACCCCGAGUGGUCGGGACGAUUAUUGGGCCUAAAGCAUCCGUAGCCGGUUUUACAAGUCCUCCGUUAAAUCCAGCUGCUUAACAGAUGGGCUGCGGAGGAUACUAUAAGACUAGGAGGCAGGAGAGGCAAGCGGUACUCAGUGGGUAGGGGUAAAAUCCGUUGAUCCAUUGAAGACCACCAGUGGCGAAGGCGGCUGCCUGGACCGGCAUUGACGCUGAUGAGCGAAAGCUAGGGGAGCAAACGGG
rnacentral:rRNA from 1 species